rnacentral:rRNA from 1 species
CGCGCAGGCGGUCUUUUAAGUUGGAUGUGAAAGCCUACGGCUCAACCGUAGAACUGCAUCCAAAACUAUUAGACUAGAGUGUGGGAGAGGAAGAUGGAAUUAGUUGUGUAGGGGUAAAAUCCGUAGAGAUAACUAGGAAUACCAAAAGCGAAGGCAAUCUUCUGGAACACUACUGACGCUGAGGCGCGAAAGCGUGGGGAGCAAACAGGAUUAGAUACCCUGGUAGUCC